AACGAACGCUGGCGGCGUGCUUAACACAUGCAAGUCGAGCGGAGAUGAGGUGCUUGCACCUUAUCUUAGCGGCGGACGGGUGAGUAAUGCUUAGGAAUCUGCCUAUUAGUGGGGGACAACAUUCCGAAAGGAAUGCUAAUACCGCAUACGCCCUACGGGGGAAAGCAGGGGAUCUUCGGACCUUGCGCUAAUAGAUGAGCCUAAGUCGGAUUAGCUAGUUGGUGGGGUAAAGGCCUACCAAGGCGACGAUCUGUAGCGGGUCUGAGAGGAUGAUCCGCCACACUGGGACUGAGACACGGCCCAGACUCCUACGGGAGGCAGCAGUGGGGAAUAUUGGACAAUGGGCGGAAGCCUGAUCCAGCCAUGCCGCGUGUGUGAAGAAGGCCUUUUGGUUGUAAGGCACUUUAAGCGAGGAGGAGGCUACCUGGAUUAAUACUCUAGGAUAGUGGACGUUACUCGCAGAAUAAGCACCGGCUAACUCUGUGCCAGCAGCCGCAGUAAUAC
rnacentral:rRNA from 1 species